GUGCUGUGAUGUUUUUAUCAACCCUUCAUUCUGAAGAAAAAAGGAAUGUGGUAACAACUAAAACUGAGCAUG
ensembl:snoRNA SNORD63 Small nucleolar RNA SNORD63